ensembl:lncRNA
AUGUCGGUUCCCAAUUCUAGGUCAGUGUGUCAACUAUCUAGCCCUAUCAUUGACCCAGUGGACCAGCUACUGCACCUUCGGCAAGGAGAUCAAUCUAUUGAGGAGUAUGUUCAGCAGUUCUGUGAGUUAGUAUAUCAAGUUCCUCUAAAUGAUGAAGCUUUGUUUAAGGACUUGUUUCGUUUUGGACUCAAUGAAUCAAUUAAAUCAUGGUUACCUGGAGGGGAAUUUAAUGGCCGUCUAAGAGACAUUAUGGACUAUGCACUCUUGUUAUGUGGUUCUCCUUUCACUGUGGGAGAGGCAGAGGACUUUAAAACCCCAAAGUCUCUCCACGAAAUGGCUACCAGCCCGGAGGCGGUUCACAAAAUGGCCGCCGCUCCUGAGACUCAUCCUGUCAUGGCUAGGUGGUGCCCGAGGCGGUGUCGGAUGCGGUGCCCGAGAUGGUUCCCGAAGCCGAGGCGCUUCACGUCUCCAGAGGCCGUCCAGAGCACCUUCGCGUCUCCACAGGCCGUCCAGAGUCAGGUCAGGUCCCCGCUGACCGUCCAGAGUCAGGUCCCCGCUGACCGUCCAGAGUCAGGUCAGGUCCCCGCGGAUCUUAGUGAACAAGGUCACGCCACCGCGGAUCUUAGUGAACAAGGUCACGCCACCGCGGAUCUUAGUGAACAAGGUCACGCCACCGCGGAUCUUAGUGAACAAGGUCACGCCACCGCGGAUCUUAGUGAACAAGGUCACGCCACCGCGGAUCUUAGUGAACAAGGUCACGCCACCGCGGAUCUUAGUGAACAAGGUCACGCCACCGCGGAUCUUAGUGAACAAGGUCACGCCACCGCGGAUCUUAGUGAACAAGGUCACGCCACCGCGGAUCUUAGUGAACAAGGUCACGCCACCGCGGAUCUUAGUGAACAAGGUCACGCCACCGCGGAUCUUAGUGAACAAGGUCACGCCACCGCGGAUCUUCGUGAACAAGGUCAAGUCACAGUUAAACUUUAUGAGGCCAGUCAAAUCACUACCAAUCUUCCAGAGUUUCAUCAUACCACAACAGAUCAUCCAGAGCCUCAUCACAGCCUGUCAGUUGCACCAAGCAAGGUUCUCUCAGCCUGUUGUAUUGAUGUCAAGGAGACUGUAACUGCUGCAGAACCUUCGGAGGUGUCAGUAGUAUCCAUCCAGGAACUCUCGUCCUGUCCUGUCACGGCCAAGGAGGUCACCCACCAACUCACCGCCCAUCCUGUCACGGCCACGGAGGCCGUCUAUGAACUCAUUGCCUGCCCUGUCAUGGCUAAGGAGGCCGUCUAUGAACUCUCGUCCUACCCUGUCACGGCCAUGGAGACCGGCUGUGAACUCUCUGCCGGCCCUGUCACGGCUAUGGAGACCGUUUGGGAACUCUCUAACCACCUCAUCACGACCUCGGAGGCCGCCAUUAAUCUGUUUAUGUUCUCUGUUUCAGUCCCACCUGACCAGACUUGCUCUCCUGUACCGUUGACUCCACUGUGGUGGUCCUCUGCUUCGCCCUGGUGGGCUUCUGUCUCAUCGGCUCCACUGUGGUGGUCCUCUGCUCCGCCCUGGUGGGCUUCUGUCCCGUCUGCUCAGCUGUGGUGGUCCUCUGCUCCGCCCUGGCGGGCUUCUGUCUCCUCUGCUCAGCUGUGGUGGUCCUCUGCUCCGCCCUGGCGGGCUUCUGUCUCCUCUGGUCGGCUGUGGUGGUUCUCUGCUCCGCCCUGGUCAACUUCUGUCCCGUCUGCUCCGCCCUGGUGGGCUUCUAUCCCAUCUGCUCAGCGGUGGGGGCUCCUUGCUCCGCCCUGGUGGGCUCCAGUUCCGCCUGCUCCGCCCCGGUGGACUCCUGUUCCGUCGGCUCUGCCUUGGUCGCCAGCCAUUCCACUUCCACAUGGACCAGGCCCUCCAUCCCUCCCCCUGUUCCGCCUCCGCUCCACCGCCCUCCAAGACUGUAUAGAGCGUCUGGAAGCCGCUCCUUGUGGGGGGGCUAUGUCACGAUCUCUAGCUGGAGUGCCUGUGAGCUUCAGUAGAGGGCACUCCACUCAGGACUCAUUCAGAACUCCAUUUCCCAUCCUGCCUCACUCCUGGGACUGAUUGCACACACACACCUGCACCUAAUUCCACACACACACCUGCAGCUAAUACACACACACCCAUAUAAGCAGCACACUCACACCAUCACACUGCGAAGUCUUGUUUAGCCCCGUCUAACAUUUCCGAGCGUUUUUCCCUUUGUUCUUCCGUGUCUGACCUUUGGAUUGUGUAUUCUGACUCUGAUUCUCUGCUGCCUGCCCCGAUCUCUGCUUGUUUCUGGUUUCGAUUCUGGUUACCCCUGACAUACCUGACGCCAUUCCUGAUUUCCACCUGUCUGACCACUCUGUUAAUAAAUACUGCAAUUGGAUUCGAACGUCUCUGACU